rnacentral:rRNA from 1 species
UCCGCAGGGGGCCGGCUAAGUUUGAUGUGAAAUCCCGGGGCUCAACCCCGGAACUGCAUUGAAAACUGGUUGGCUAGAGUACCGGAGAGGAAAGUGGAAUUCCAGGUGUAGCGGUGGAAUGCGUAGAUAUCUGGAAGAACACCAAAAGCGAAGGCAGCUUUCUGGACGGUUACUGACCCUCAGGGACGAAAGCGUGGGGAGCAAACAGGAUUAGAUACCCUGGUAGUCC